AGUGAUGUUUGGUUUCCUAUUUCUGUCGGUAAACAUCUGAAAAACCUUUGUAUUUCUUCUUCGAUGUUCGAUACGAUUUCAUCUUUCAUAUUACUCUUUAAUCUGUUCAAGAAAAGCUUAGGAGUAGUUUUAGAAUCUGCGAUUAUAUGAGUUAGACACCAAGUUUCCUUCUUUUUCCUCUGAAGAAUACAAAAUGAGACGACUUCUAUCUUCUUUCUCCGGAGAAUAAAAAGACGAUAUCUUGCUUCUUGUUUCGUGCAUGUCUAUGAUCGAUUCUCCCCUCUUCCCUAAUUUCGAUUGAAAUAGUUUAUGCAAGGUUUUGGUCGGAGUUUACAUGGAUGAUGACUUCAGGAUAAUAGUAUCAAGUAGACGUCGUGAUAUGAAGCUAAUUAGAGAAUGAAAUGUAUCAGGAUUGAUAUGCAUUGGAGAUUGAGUUGGCUUCUAAGUAUAAAAGAAGAUCUGAAGCAAUCAAAAUAGUGACUUGCGUUUUCCAAAUUCAUAAAAUGGAAUCAAGACUCUUGUUCUACAAAGAAAUGGUGUUUCAUGCUUCUAUGAAGAUAAGUUUACUCGAAUAUCUCUGCCUUGUUGUACUUUAAGAUAGAUUUUGAUUUCAAAACAAACUAUAAAAAUUGGCAUAUUCAUCUAGCAAAUAGAAAAAACAAUUUACUUGGGAUUAGGAUUCUUUAGUAAUAGAUAUAUUAAGUAAUAGAAUGAUCAUAACCUCUUAGACACAUUGAUUAAUAAGACAUAUAGUAUUGUUCUUUUGAAUCGUGAGUAGGUUUCUGUUAUUUGUUUUGUUUAGCUUGGUAAUCGUGAUUAAAAAAAACACUGCUAGCCAUCUAUAAUAGUAAGUGUAAUACUGAUUGAUAUUAGUAAAAUAUACAACGACCUUGAGAAUAUUUUAUUAAUCUUACUGAUAUAUGAUAUGCAGGUUAUUAUUCGAAGGAUUCAUCAAAGAAGAGCUGAAGAAAUUAAAAUAGUGACUUGCGUUUUCGAAAUUCAUAAAAUGGAAUAAAGACUCUUGUUCUACAAAGAAAUGGUGUUUCAUGCUUCUAUGAAGAUAAGUUUACUCGAAUAUCUCUGCCUUGUUGUACUUUAAGAUAGAUUUUUAUUUCAAAACAAACUAUAAAAAUUGGCAUAUUCAUCUAGCAAAUAGAAAAAACACUUUACUUGGGAUUAGGAUUCAUUAGUAAUAGAUAGAUUAAGUAAUAGAAUGAUCAUAACCUCUUAGACACAUUGGUUAAUAAGACAUAUAGUAUUGUUCUUUUGAAUCGUGAGUAGGUUUCUGUUAUUUGUUUUGUUUAGCUUGGUAAUCGUGAUUAA